UACGUAGGGGGCAAGCGUUGUCCGGAUUUAUUGGGCGUAAAGAGCGUGUAGGCGGCCAGGUAGGUCGGCUGUGAAAACUCGAGGCUCAACCUCGAGAUGUCGGCCGAAACCAUCUGGCUAGAGUCCGGAAGAGGAGAGUGGAAUUCCCGGUGUAGCGGUGAAAUGCGCAGAUAUCGGGAAGAACACCCGUGGCGAAGGCGGCGCUCUGGGACGGUACUGACGCUGAGACGCGAAAGCGUGGGGAGCGAACAGG
rnacentral:rRNA from 1 species